UACGUAGGCAGCAAGCGUUGUUCGGAGUUACUGGGCGUAAAGGGUGCGUAGGCGGCCCUGUAAGUAUGGUGUGAAAUCUCCCGGCUUAACUGGGAGGGUGCAGCGGAAACUAGAAUGCUAGAGGGUGGGAGAGGUAAGCGGAAUUCCUGGUGUAGCGGUGAAAUGCGUAGAUAUCAGGAGGAACACCUGUGGUGUAGACAGCUUACUGGACCACUUCUGACGCUGAGACACGAAAGCGUGGGUAGCAAACAGG
rnacentral:rRNA from 1 species